UUGAUUGUAUUUCUUUGUUACAAUCCAUGAUAAAUUUAACCCAUGCUUAUCUACUACCCUUAUAAAAGAAAGAGAGGGGGCAGAUCCAAACAAUUAGGUACAUCCAUCAUCAAGAUCUAAUGGUCUUUAAUCCUCCUGUGUUUAACACUGUAAACCACGCAUUAAGCCGCUGACAAUCCAUCGAUCGCUAACCCUGCCCUGUUGUUCGAAAAAUAACCGCACACCUGCACGACCUCUCGCCCACGUAGCCUCCCGCACACCCGCAUCGAUCGCUAAUCCAUCGUUCCUCCUCACGCGCCGUUCCUCCCGAAGCCUCCCGUCCGUCGUCGCGCCCUUCGCCACGGGAGCCGCCCGCCGCGGCGAUAGCCGCGGGAGCUGCCGCCGGAGCCGCCCGUCGCGCCCUCCGUCGCGGGUCACCGCGGGAGCCGCCGCUGCAGCUGCCCGUCGCGCUCUCUGAUGCCCGAGUUGUCACCGGAGCCGCCCGUCGCGCCUUCCGCCGCAGGUCGCCACGGGAGCCGCCGCGCCCUUUGCCGCGGGUGAGCCACCGCGUGAGGUGCCCACCGCGCCCCUUCGCCGCCCGAGCCGCUCAACUUGGAGUUAUCAACCCCUGCCGCGCACGCAGGUGGCGCGACGGAGGGGGAGUACGACAAGGUUCUGGGGCAGCUCUCCUCUCUCACGCAGAAGGUGCGGGCACACACCGGCAACCCGGGCAUCCAGUGGGACCUCAUGGACCACUACCUCCAGAUUCUCGAGCUGGAGGAGGCCAUCGCGUGGAUGAAGGUCAUCCAUGUCAUCGUUACCAAAGGGAAGGUGAAUCACUAGAUAACAUUUGGUGCCAAGGAUUCGAGAAGGUGAACUAAUACCAAGAACCAUGUCGCCGGAUGAUUCCAGAAGAGAUGGUCCUGAUAGUCGAGGUAUUCGAGCCUUCCAUGUUAACCGUACUUGGUUAUUACAUAACCCCCACCAUAUGCAACUGAUUAUUACUUAACCAUCACCAUUUUGUUAACUAUGCUUGGUUCAAACAUUCAGAUUUCAUUUAAGUGUUUUCUCUCUGGAAAGCAUGCAAAAUAGAUAUAUCAAUUUUGUUAUCUGGACCUUUAAUGUCCUUCCUUUAUAUCCAUGCAUUUUCUCUUCCGUUUAGUUGUAAUUAUUUUACCAUUUUCUUCUUGAAACACAUAAACGGUGCAUUGGGUGAACUUGUUACUACAGAGAUUUCCACAUUCAUUCUAUCCCAUUACUCAUUUGCUUCGUAAGUUCCUACCAUAUGGUUUAUGUUGAUUUAUUCUACUCACAAUCAUAAUUCACUCGCCGCUUUCGCCGCCACUUUGAGGCCUUAGCCACCAAGCAGCAUCCUUUCCCGUGAGGUUUAAUUCAGUACAUGCUUCUCUGAAUUUCUAUGAGAUUAAUUCAGUAUAUGUUUCUCUGAAUGUUAUCCUACCAAUCGUUAGUUGUUUGAUGAUAAGCUUGUUGAUUUCCAGUUACACUAUAUUAGUCAAGUUUGAAGGUUCUGCAGUAUGAACUUUGAACUACUAUGUGUGUCCACUCCAUAAAGAAGAAAUUGUACUCUUUAUUUUAUUUUUAAAAAAUAAAUGACAAUUAUAUUUCCAAAUGUUUACAUCAUUGCUAGGGCUGGACAGCUCCGAACCCCAUAUUUCAGGGUCACUAUGGUUGGUGAUAAACGAUUUUAGGAGCAUCAAAGUUUGUCCUACAAUAUCUCUAUGUGGUAUCCAGCUUAGCAAUUUUUCAUAUUUUAGAUAAAAUGGAAUUGACCUUCGGUUAAUGCUUAGAGAAUUCACCAAAAGUAGUGAUAGGAUUUAUAAUCGACUUAAAUGAGAUUUCCGUUUUACGCUCUUCAAUUCAUAUUUCAUAUAUAUGGAGCCGCUCGCCACUGGAGCCGCGGGUCGCCGCUGGAGCCGGAGCCGCCCGCCCCGCAACGCCGCCACGGGGUUGGAUCGUAUGGUGCUGUACUGGUGGCCCUGGAGACAUACAAGAUCGAUGAGGUAACAUGUCGUUCAAGUUUCAGUACGACAAUUUGAUUGAUCUAGGCUAUGACUGUUCAAAGGUCAUGAAUCUGGUAAUGUCAUAUGCAUGCAUGUGUAUUAACUGUUUGUGUUGGGUAUCUUCAGAGAUGCUCAGAACAUCCAUAUAUACAUGUGUACGAUGACUAUGCCGCAGAGGACGAUGAGCAUGAGGAGAAGCUGAAGAAGGAAACGUUUAUGUUGUUCUUCUUAGCUACAUGCAUGAGCUCUCGCCUUUUUGAUUCGUAGAAUGAUGAACUGACCACGAUGAGCUCACGCUGCUUUGAUUUGUAGAUUGCCGACUUCCUCACAUAUUAUGGUUCGUAGGUUGCUGAAUGACCCUUUUUGUUGCUUGCGCCUUAAUUCGGUAAUCCAUCUACUAGCCUUUUGUUGAACAACACAAGUGAAAUGUAUGCAAGUACACAAUUUAUUUUAGAUUCGAAAGGCACUUAAGAGUUAAGACACUAGCUAUAAGCCUACCAACAAGGGGAAUGUCUAUGUGUCUGUGUGCAGUGUUCUUCUAAUCGGUGGGGGUUAUAAAGUGUGGCUGCAGGCAUUUAAUUAAGCACAAUCCUGUUGUGGCAAAGGAGGAACCGGGUUUACCUCCAAUGAAGAGAAGCAUUGUUAGCUAAUUCCGCAUCUUUAUCGAGUGGGUUAUUGUAUUGGGAGCCGUCAGUGCUUAUUGUGGUGUCAUAUACCAAAAUUUGUUUUUAGUUCAUCAGUUCAGUCCAAUCUUGCAGAACAAAUACAAAUAAAGUGCAUAGAAAUAUUGCAUUUGAUAGAAUUUAUAUGAUGUUUCAAGGAACCACGUUCUGCACUCUAUGUUGUUAUGUUGAAUGGAAGCAACAACGACACCGGGGAAACAUGAGUUUAUCAUUCAAAAGAGGUCUCUGAAAUUUUAGAGGGUUGUGGUAUAUGAAUCAUUGCUGGAUAAGGAAAGGAGUGGGGGAGGAUCUGCAAGUGUGUAGUGUAGAACUUUAUUGAUGUAGGCGUUGAUUUUCAUUUGUAAGAUUCUGUAUUGUUCUUUACCCAUCUGCUCCUGGAACUGCCUACUAAUUAUGAUUUGUUGAAGUCUCAUGCAGACAUUAUACGAUGGAUUUAUAUGGCUACCUGACUAGGUAAAAGAGCUAUAUAUUUUAGUGUUUCUAAUUCAGAUAAUCUAUUUCUUAUGGACCUAUGAAACCUUAAUGUUAAUUCACAAAGCUCGGUCUUGCAAGAAAACAAAAAGCAGCAUAGCUGCGAGAAGAUAACAUAUAUCUUGUUUACUUUGUUGUAAUUUGUGUGCUAACUUGGUCAGAAUUUUCCUAUUUUGUAGUUUAUGAAAAUUCUUUAUCAUGUUGUAGCCAAGAUUUGCAAAAUGUUCAUCAAAUUUAUGGUUUGUAUUUCUGCCUAAUAUAAGAACUCUAUUUCCCUGUUCAUCCAACUCUGCCCUUUUGAUUGCAGUUCUUUCCUACACAUACAGCUGAAACUUACAAUUUGUACUCUUGGCUGAUGCAACAGAUUAAGGAUUAAACUCAUGGCAUCUAAAAAAUUAGCUUGAACUGUAAAAAGAUCUAAAAACAGACUCUGAAUGUCCAGUCAAAAGUGACUGACUUUGAUAAACAUUGAUAAUGACAUUUUGAUCUAAAAAGUGGGCAGCUGAUUUGCUAAUUAACUGACUCUGAACGUCCCAUAAAAAAUAACUCCAAACGUCUAACUUUUAUUAUGUUGGUGCUUAAUACUCCCUCCGUAAACUAAUAUAAGAGCGUUUAGAUCACUAUUUUAAUGAUCUAAACACUCUUAUAUUAGUUUACAGAGGGAGUACUAGGAUGCUGGUGUCUGCAUAUGAGCUGAUGUUCGGGAAGCCAUCCCUCCACAGACUCUUUGAGGGCUACUUCGAUCAAGCCGGGAGGGUGAACGCAAGGGGUCAUGUUGAAGAUGCUGCAAGUUCCUCAUGUUGAUUUGAUCACAACUAUAGGAGACACCCUGUGGGUGUCUUUUCUUCACACAAAAAAUAAUAAAUUUUGGGCACUGAUAACCAUGUGCUCACAUUCUUACAUAUUUAUUUAUUUUUACAGGAAAAUGCGACACCAACAACUAACGAUGAACACAUUCAUUCACUUAUUUACAUUGGCAUUUUUCGUCACUGGGACAAUUUUAUUGUCAUGCAUGAUUUUGUUUAUGAGACUGUUCAGGCAUUUUCGAGUUUCUGUAAAGAUGAGUACUGCCAACCUUUGCUUGUUCUCUCGGACUAGGCCUACCGCAAGCUUACCUCGACUGAUUUCGGUGGCCCAAAGCGGCACUAGCUCGGAGACGACAUCAACAAGCUCCUGGAGACUUGGUUGGUGGUGAGGCGCCUAGGCGAUCUUGUGGAUGGCUUUGAAAUUCGAUGGCAUAGAAAGUGCAGAGGGAGAGGCGCGAGCAGUGGCGGCACCAAGGCGAUCUUGUGGGUGGCUUUGAAAUUCAAUGGGAUAGAAAGUGCAGAGGGAUAGGCGCGAGCAGUGGCGGUGUGCCUCCAGCAUCUCUCUCACACAUGAGCAUUUGUGGCUAACAGAUGGCAUGCCAGAGGAGAAGCGGGCGUUUGUCUGUUUUGAGAAUUACAAGGUUGCACAAUGGGCGUUUGUCUGUUUUGAGAAUUACAAGGUUGCACAAUAUCGGAUAUCGUUGGAUGUUA